ACGGAAGGCAGCAGUAGGGAAUAUUGCACAAUGGGGGAAACCCUGAUGCAGCAACGCCACGUGUGGGAAGACGCAUUUCGGUGUGUAAACCACUGUCGUGAGGGAAUAAGGCUACUUUUCGGAGUAGUUGAAUGUACCUCGAAAGGGAGCACCGGCAAACUUCGUGCCAGCAGCCGCGGUAAUACGAGGGGUGCAAGCGUUGUUCGGAAUCACUGGGCGUAAAGGGAGCGCAGGCGGGGAUGCAAGCAGUCUGUACAAUACCGGGGCCCAACCCCGGACCUGCAGACUGGACUGUUUCCCUUGGAUAGUUCAGGGGCAAGCGGAAUUCCUGGUGUAGCGGUGGAAUGCGUAGAGAUCAGGAAGAACACCGAUGGCGAAGGCAGCUUGCUGGGGACUUAUCGACGCUCAUGCUCGAAAGUGCGGGUAGCAAACAGGAUUAGAUACCCUGGUA
rnacentral:rRNA from 1 species